rnacentral:rRNA from 1 species
UACAGAGACUGCAAGCGUUGUUCGGAUUCAUUGGGCGUAAAGGGUGCGUAGGUGGCGCCGUAAGUCAGGUGUGAAAUUUCGGAGCUUAACUCCGAAACUGCAUUUGAUACUGCGGUGCUUGAGGACUGGAGAGGAGACUGGAAUUUACGGUGUAGCAGUGAAAUGCGUAGAGAUCGUAAGGAAGACCAGUGGCGAAGGCGGGUCUCUGGACAGUUCCUGACACUGAGGCACGAAGGCCAGGGGAGCAAACGGG